GUGCAGCCAGUGGUGGCAAUCGAAAGAACUGUCUUCUAUAGAGAAAGAGCCGCUGGAAUGUAUUCAGCUAUGCCCUAUGCUUAUGCACAGGUCCUGGUUGAGCUUCCAUAUGUUUUUGCGCAAACCAUUGUCUAUGGUGCUAUAACAUACGCAAUGAUGGGAUUUGAAUGGACUGUUGCUAAAUUUUUCUGGUAUUUGUUCUUCUUGUACUUCACAUUAUUG
rnacentral:misc_RNA from 1 species